rnacentral:lncRNA from 12 species
UUUUCUAGGAGCUUUUUAUCCAGUUUCUUGUCCGCAGCCUCUACCCCAGGCUGGGUGCCCAGGCGGUCUCCGGAGAGGAGGGGGAGGAGGAGGAGGAGGAGGAGGAGGAGGAGGAGGAGGAGGAGGAGGAGGGGGGGGGAGGAGGAGGAGAGGGGGUAGGAAGGAAGAGGAGGGAGCCGAGGAAGACGCGGAGCCUCCACCCGCCAGCCGGGAGCACUUGCAGCAGGUGCAGGAGGCUGGGCCCCGGGUUUGCACUCUGCGGCGGUGCCUGGGCCUCAGGAAGCCGACCCGGGAAGACCCGCCAGCCCGAAAAAAGUGAGCUGGAGAGAGAUGAUUGUCGCGAAAACUCAAGGUCCUGAAACACCUGAGCAGGUGACAUUUGAACUCUCCAUGUGUAGUGCUGUAUUUUAACUGAAAUAUCGGGCUUACAACGAACCGAAGAUCGUGACUUCUCCCAAACUCCAAGGUGAAUUUGAAGAAAAAACUUUCUUUCAUAGUGAUUGGAAUAAUAUUGUUCUUCAUUAUGUGUCUAAGGUUAGAAAACGCCCAGCAGCGUUCGGCCGGUUAGCUCAGUUGGUUAGAGCGUGGUGCUAAUAACGCCAAGGUCGUGGGUUCGAUCCCCACACGGGCCAGUACGUCUUUUGUUCCCUUUUCCAUUAAAAACUGCUGUGCUCUAAAAAAAAAAAAAAAAAACCAACAACAACAACAACAACAAAAAACAAAACCCUAAGAGAUUAAUAGAAGAACAGAUUAACAGCUCCUUAAUCUCAACAGGGUGGAGAGUGGUCAACUGUGGUUUUCUGUGUGGGAUUUCCUGUUCUUGGAGGAUCCGAUGAGAAGGGAACUGAGAACAGAACGAAAAAGAUGUGAGCCUCCAGAAGGGAAGUGAAAUCGGUAGCAAUGUGAAAACCAGAAACGCUGGGCUUUCCCAUCUUUUUACAUUUCCCAAGAUGUUCAAAGAUUCCUCAACCAUUACUAGCUCCUCAGGUGAAUUUUUCUAGUUAUGAUUCUGCUUACUUGCAGGGGGCUGUCCUUGGCCUGAGCAGGGUGAGUAAAGCCUUUCAGAGCAAGUCAGAGCAGAGCCCUGGCCUCUGCUCCAAUCUUCACUCCUAUUUCCUCUUUUUACCAGGACUUGACUCCAGGGGUGUUGGACUUAAGAUGUUUCAUACAGAAUGCUCAAACUUUCAUUGCUCUUUGCUUGUCAAGGUACUUGCUAGACCUGAAACCAUCUUCCGGGAGGCGUCUUGUCUCUGAUGUCUCUCCCAGUUUUCUGAGGUUGGAUUGUGUUCCUUCCAAAACUCCUGGAGAUCCAGGAAAACAUCUAUUUUGUGACAUUUACCAAGUUAUGAAUGUCUGUUA